GCAGGGACAGAAAAGAUAUAGGUGUGAGUGUACAGGAAGUGGUUCUCUCUGGAGGCUGAAGGUUGGUGAGGGACAAGACUUCCUUCAGAAGUGCUAUGAUCUUGGACAUCCGUUGUACCUAACCUGAAGCACUAAUGAGGUAAGUGGACUCUGAAGGAGUGGGGGACGUCUCCCCUGCACUGACACCAAAGCCCCUCUCCCCACUGGAGGCUUGCUUUUUAAAUGUUUAACAGAUCCCUCAGCGUCUCCACCUCUGCUGGAUUGGACUAUGUGACUAGCUAUGAAUAUCCUGCAAAUACAUUAUACAGCUACCACAUUAGCUAAUGCUUAGGCUGCAGGGGUCGGCAGGGCACGACAACUGACCUCAUCAAUGAAUCCUUCCUGUGUUCUGCAAAUUGUCUACUAUUUCUCAAUAAGAUUUCCAUAUUUGAAGAAAGCUUUGAAACCUGCUCUAUCUGUAGCUCUUAUCCUCCCUGAGAUUCUGCUGGUCCUGCAGACUAGCAGCUUUGGAACCUUUUCUGGCACCAUGAUGAAAUCUCUGCACCUGAGCAGCUGAGCAUCCAGAAAUGAUACUGUACGGAAGCACUGGGUGAUUUGGACGACUGCAAGGCCCUGCUAUGUGAUGGCUUCCCAGAAUCCGGGCGCUUGGUUCAUGUGCUUGGGAGCCAAUUCAAAUGGAUGACUUGUCGUAGAAUUUGAGCCAUGCUGACUUAUAAGAAGAAUGAAAAUAAAAAGAAGGAAAUAAUUAGUCAAAAUGCACGUGUAUUGACCUACUGUUUCAGCCAUUGACUUACCAGUUCAUGUGAGGGCAGGUGGUGCUGAAGUCUUCACUACAGCUGGGAGACAAUCUGAGAAUCCUAUUCGGAAGUAUCCAAAGGAAGACAGACUUCUGUCUAGUUUCCUGUUACUAAUUCAUUUUGUGACUUUGUAGGACUUAAGGUCACUCACUACCCAGGUAGAAAAAGCCCACCUGGAUGGUGUCUUCAUGUCCACACUAAGGAUUCCUGACCUUGAGUACAGAUCAGGAACUUGGGCAGUGUAGUGCUUGAAUGAACUCUUGGGAGAGGGCCUCUGCUUACUGAUGAGGCUUCUUCCUUACAUGGCUACUCUGUUCAGCUCUAUAUUUCAAGAGCUGCCUAUAGAGGCAGAAGAUGCUCACACUCCACUUUCUAGUGCCCAAAGGACCACACUGGAAUUAUGAGAGCAUUAAUUCUUGCCUGGCCUGCUAUUUUCCUAUAACCUAAAUUUGUUUCCUAGGGGGAAAAUUAACACGUGUACACACACACACACACACACACACACACACACACACACACACACACACACACAUUUCCAACAACAUCCUAAGUACACCAUUUCUUUUACUUAGAACAAUCAAAUAAUGAGAAAAUGCUACAAAACUGUUAAAGAAAUAAGAAACAAUAAAAAUACAAACACAACCAAGGCAUUAUGUCCUAGCCCGAAGUUUCCAAUGACGUCUUCAUCCCCUAGUACUUUCCCAUUUUCCAAUCUCAGAUCACGGCAUGUGACAUUAGAUGGUCACAUAAGGUGUCAUAAAUUGACUGAGAAAUGUGUGUCAAAUAGAACACUCUUCAACUACCACUGGGAGUUGAGAACUUUGGGGAGAAAAGCCUUUGCUUAAAGAUAACCAAAUAAGACCAGAGAAGGCAUGUGGUGCAGUCAAUCCUUAAAUUUGAAGAGAAACAGCAAGAAGCUUUUUAUUAUGCCUGUUCACUUUGAAACCCCUGGAGGGAGAUUAGCGACAAAGUAAAUACGCAUCAAAAAAAUCUUUACUAUCCAGUAUGCCACUGUUACAGGGACAAGUUCUUGAAGUUUUCCUGUGAUAUAGAGUAGCUAUGAAGGUGCCUCUGGUUAGCAUCAGGUAGCUUGUGGCAUAAAAAGCCAAACAGCACUUAUUUGCUGCCGGCCUGAAACAAAGGAGCAUCUAUCUGUCAGAGGAACACAUGCUUGAUGAGUAGACUGUUGACUUCAUACUGCUGAAGGCCUCCAGCUUCAUCUAUUUAUAAAAGAGAGGCUAUUUUCAAGCAAGGCAUACGUGCACUAGCCGCGAGGAAGCAGGGUAGAGAUGGAAAGAUAAUCUCUCUGAACAUCUGUCAUGAUCGCACUUAAAAACCUUCCGACAAAGGCAAAUGUCUGUUGGAUACUUCAGACUGUCAAACUAUGGUUAUGUGGGUGAGUGCUUGUGGUGAUGCUCUGUGUUUCUAUUUUUAUAAAAUUCUAUCACUAUAGACUCAGGCAAUCAGGGAAUCAUAACCAAAACAGCCAACAGGUCCAGAGAAAAGAUGCACUUGACCCUUGAAGUCAGAGAAUGAGACACUCCUUGAUGUUCACUCCUUUUCUUUUCCAGAAAGAAUCAGGCAGGGAGGCAAGCAUCAAAGAAGCUGCCAAUUGACUCUGCCUUGCUCAAUUGAUGGAGCCGCAGGCCACCAUCACUCUGAAUCUUGUCAAGAAAGAUGGCAGUGGAAGAGCAGAGUUCCCCAACAAAGAAGAGAACACAGUUCUCCCACCGAGCCUGUGCAUGUGGUGAUAACUCAGUUCCAGCUUGCUUCCUCCGGGCUUGCCUGCCUACUGCACAGCAAGAGAGUGCUGUAAUUUGUUUAAAUGUGCAAUGACCUUAUUCUAUUGGUACUGGCAUGUGAGAGUAUGUUCUUUUGGAAGAUUUCAUUGUAAGGAUGGGGGUGUGGUGCAGCACAGUCUCAAUUUGUCCUCUUCGUUCCUUAUCCGGGGCAAAGCCACAUGCCACCUCAUCCUUCUCCAGAAAGAGUAUUGUGUCUGUGUUGCAGAUGGCAGUUUCAAGCCAUCUAUUUAUGGAGGAACUUUGAAGCAUGAGGCUAUAAGAAAUGAAAUAUUUCAAUGUGAUUUGUUCUCUUUUAGACACAAAAGCCAAGCAAUGAGAUUUUCUUUCUGUGAAUGUUUAUCAUCCAGGUUUUUCACAGAAACAAAUGUCUCUAAAUAGCAAAAUAAUUUCCCAGAACCAGCACCCCACAGGUAUUAAACUGGAACAACACUAAGGUCCUUGCCUGGACACAGUCACCCUGGUCACAGUGCAUUUUAAGUGGCUAUAACCUCCACACAGGCAUCCUUUAGGAGAACAUGAAAGCCUGCUAGGAUUCUAGAGUCAGUGUGACAGGAUUUGUGCAAGAAGAACAUCAUAGAAGCAAUUGUUAACAAACCCAGUUUAGAAGAGUUUCCUCUAUUGUGCUGUUUUUAUUUUUCCAUCACAUUAUGCUUUAGCUUAUGAUUUGUUAGUAAUAUUAAAAUUGAGUUUUCCUUGUC